CUCACGGGAAUUCUGAGGUGGGCCGAGAUCGAGGAAGGAUUUAAGCUGGUGGCAAAGGUUUUUGGGGCCUCUCUUUGGGACUUCCGUUUUGGAGCAGACGCGUCUCUUCCGUGAUGUGCCCAAGCAAUGGGGUAUCAGUUACCAGAGGAGGUGCAGGAGCAACAGCAGCUGCAGAGGCAGCAUUAUUGCCAGAACUGACAAGAAAGAAUUUCCUACGAUGAGAACCUACCCAAAAGAAAAGAGUCCACUUAGCCUACUUGGAAUUGAUUGGGUUGUACUCAGGAGAGACAAAAUGCAAGCUAUCUAAUGAGCAGUACUGUUAUAAAUGUUUCAGAAAGGCUUGAAUACUAACCUAUCAACUGAUUAUAAUCUUUCUAUGAUUGUUGUUUAUCGUUUACUUUCCUGUAUGACAAUAAAAUUUGCCAUUCCAUUCCUGA